rnacentral:tRNA from 1 species
UCCCUGGUGGUUCUGUGGCUGAGACGCUGCACUCCCAAUGCAGAGGGCAGGGGUUCGAUCCUUGGUCAGGGAA